UAUGAAAGUUGGACCAACAGCUGUGGAGCCUGCAUGGGACUGGACUAGGCCCUUUGCAUGUUUAUGGGCUUCUUUCUGAGUUUUAACCCAACCUCUUCAAUAUUUUGGGGAACAAAACACACAGGAAGUGUUUUGAUGGAAACAGCUGAUAAUGGUACCUUACCCAUAUAAUACCAGCACUUGGGAGACUGAAGCAGGAGGACCGCCAUGAGUUAGAGGCCUACAACCGGUUGCCAUGGGCUACAAUAAAACAGCCAAAUACCGACACCACAGAUGGGAAAUUUAGUGAGUAAACUAUAACAAACACAAGAUGGAGAAGCUGAAGGAGAGCUGAGCAACCAGAAGAGAUGGAAAAGGGCAAAAUCCAAACCCUGGGACCAG